rnacentral:tRNA from 1 species
GGGAGAGUGAUCGAGUGGUCAAAAGCAACAAACUGUAAAUUUGUUGAAGUUUUCCUAUAUAGAUUCGAAUCUUACCUCUCUCA